rnacentral:rRNA from 1 species
CCUACGGGAGGCAGCAGUGAGGAAUAUUGGUCAAUGGACGAGAGUCUGAACCAGCCAAGCCGCGUGAAGGAUGACUGCCCUAUGGGUUGUAAACUUCUUUUAUAUGGGAAUAAAAUGUUCCACGUGUGGGAUUUUGUAUGUACCAUAUGAAUAAGGAUCGGCUAACUCCGUGCCAGCAGCCGCGGUAAUACGGAGGAUCCGAGCGUUAUCCGGAUUUAUUGGGUUUAAAGGGAGCGUAGGUGGAUUGUUAAGUCAGUUGUGAAAGUUUGCGGCUCAACCGUAAAAUUGCAGUUGAUACUGGAAGUCUUGAGUACAGUAGCGGUGGGCGGAAUGCGUGGUGUAGCGGUGAAAUGCUUAGAUAUCACGAAGAACUCCGAUUGCGAAGGCAGCUCACUGAACUGCAACUGACACUGAGGCACGAAAGUGUGGGUAGCAAACAGGAUUAGAUACCCUGGUAGUC